GCGGCGAUAGCUCAGUGGGUAAAGCGCCAGGUGAGAAAUCCGGUCGGGUUCGAAUCCCGCCUGUGGCA